rnacentral:rRNA from 1 species
GGAUGCGAUCAUACCAGCACUAAAGAACCAAAUCCCAUCAGAACUCUGAAGUUAAGCGUGCUUGGGCGAGAGUAGUACUAGGAUGGGUAACCUCCGAGAAGACCACGUGUUGCACUCG